rnacentral:rRNA from 1 species
UACGUAGGGUGCAAGCGUUGUCCGGAAUUAUUGGGCGUAAAGAGCUCGUAGGCGGUCUGUUGCGUCGGCUGUGAAAACCCGGGGCUCAACUCCGGGCCUGCAGCCGAUACGGGCAGACUAGAGUUCGGCAGGGGAGACUGGAAUUCCUGGUGUAGCGGUGAAAUGCGUAGAUAUCAGGAAGAACACCCGUGGCGAAGGCGGUUCUCUGGGACGGUACUGACGCUGAGACGCGAAAGCGUGGGGAGCGAACAGG